rnacentral:rRNA from 1 species
CGGUACAACGAGUCGCAAGCUCGCGAGAGUAAGCUAAUCUCUUAAAGCCGUUCUCAGUUCGGACUGUAGGCUGCAACUCGCCUACACGAAGUCGGAAUCGCUAGUAAUCGCGGAUCAGCAUGCCGCGGUGAAUACGUUCCCGGGCCUUGUACACACCGCCCGUCACACCAUGGGAGUUUGUAACGCCCAAAGUCGGUGGCCUAACCUUUAUGGAGGGAGCCGCCUAAGGCGGGACAGAUGACUGGGGUGAAGUCGUAACAAGGUAUC